rnacentral:siRNA from 1 species
AGGAGUUGCGACUGGUGGUUUUAU